UACGAAGGGGGGCUAGCGUUGCUCGGAAUCACUGGGCGUAAAGCGCACGUAGGCGGCUUCUUAAGUCGGUGGUGAAAUCCUGGAGCUCAACUCCAGAACUGCCUUCGAUACUGGGAGCUCGAGUCCGGGAGAGGUGAGUGGAACUGCGAGUGUAGAGGUGAAAUUCGUAGAUAUUCGCAAGAACACCAGUGGCGAAGGCGGCUCACUGGCCCGGUACUGACGCUGAGGUGCGAAAGCGUGGGGAGCAAACAGG
rnacentral:rRNA from 1 species